rnacentral:lncRNA from 1 species
CUACCACCACGCCCACGUGUUCGAGUAGAUUUUGGUGGCAUGACUGUAUUGUUUCCAAGAAAUCUCCGUUUUAAUCAGAAAUAGAAGGAAUGGAACUAUAUUGAUAUGAAACACGAUAUUGACGGUAUUGCUGAGAACGUAGUAAGAUCGCGGUAUGAACGUAGUAUAAUCGUGGUAAGAACGUACUAUAAUCGCAGUAAGAUCGUGUUGCAAUCGGAUAACUCGUGGUAUGGUCGUAGUGAGAACGUGAAGAGCGUAGAAAGAUCUUUAUGAGCGUAGUGAGGUCACAGAAUAAGCGCGGUGAGAACGUGGUUUAAUCGUAGCGGGAUCGUUGUAGAAGCGUAAUUAGGACGUAGUAGCAUCGUGAAAGCAACGAAAAUUAACAUGUUCAUGUCGCUCAUACCGCGACCUCACCACGAUCUAAAUUUAUUUUAGAUCGCGGCGAUCGUGGUGCGAUCGUGGUCUAGUGGGACUGGGGCUUUAAG